AUUCUGUUUUCCUUUUCAUUGAAUUCUCUUUCAGCUUACAACCUUCACACAGCAGGACGGUAAGUCUUCUCACUAACAUGUUCAAUUAAUGAAUCAUUUCCUUUGCUGACAAAAAUAAAGCCCAGGAGGCCAACCCAUGUUGGAAGUAGAUUUCCAGCUGAAUUUUGAAUAAUGGAGAUAUCCACCAAAUGUUCUAAGUUAAAGUGAUAAUAAUGAUGAUACAAAUCGAUGUCUGAUUGUAACAUUUCUUUGAAAACGAUUGAUCAAAGGUAUGGUGUCCAGUAAUGGUUAUCGUGUUCUCCAGUGGACGGGCGUAUCUGGAGGACUUCCACCAAAUGAAACAACUUUUGCAAAAAUAUUGAAAGAUAAAGGCUAUGCCACUGGACUCAUAGGAAAAUGGCAUCUGGGUCUCAACUGUGAAUCGUCCGACGAUUACUGCCACCACCCGCUCAGCCACGGCUUUGACCAUUUCUACGGAAUGCCGUUUUCCAUGAUGGGAGACUGUGAGCCCUGGGAAAUGUCUGAAAAGCGUGCCGGCUUGGAGCAUAAACUCAACGUCUGCUCGCAUGUCAUGGCUUUGGCCGCCUUCACGCUCACCGUUGGGAAACUCACCCGCCUGGCAGCGGGCUCCUGGACUCCGGUCAUCUGCUCGACCAUCGUGGCCCUCUUGUUCUUCACGACCUCCCGUUUCAUGGGUGCCCUGAUUGUCCACGCGGACUGCUUUCUGAUGCGAAACCACUCCAUCACCGAGCAACCCAUGUGCCUUCAAAGGACGACGGCCCUUAUGCUCAAGGAGGUCUCAUCCUUUGUCAAAAGAAACAAGCAAGGACCUUUCCUCCUCUUCGUGUCCUUUCUACAUGUCCACACCCCUCUCAUCACUACCGAGAACUUCCGAGGGAGGAGUCCCCAUGGGCUGUACGGGGACAACACAGAAGAGAUGGAUUGGAUGGUGGGGCAGAUCCUUGGUACUUUGGACACGGAAGGUCUGACCAACAGUACCCUCAUUUAUUUUACGUCGGAUCACGGGGGAUCCGUAGAGGCUCGGUUUGGAAACAAUCAAUAUGGUGGCUGGAAUGGGAUAUAUAAAGGUGGCAAAGGCAUGGGCGGCUGGGAAGGUGGGAUCCGGGUCCCAGGGAUACUGCGGUGGCCCGGGGUGCUGCCCGCCGGCCGCCUGAUCCACGAGCCCACCAGCCUGAUGGAUGUCUUCCCCACCGUGGUCCAGCUGGGGGGUGGCCAGGUGCCCCAUGACAGGGUGAUUGACGGCCGGGACCUGCUACCCUUGCUCCUCGGGACGGCCCAGCACUCCGACCACGAGUUCCUGAUGCAUUACUGCGAGAGCUUCCUGCACGCAGCCCGCUGGCACCAACGGGGCAGAGGGGCAGUGUGGAAAGUCCACUUCGUGACCCCGAUUUUCCACCCAGAAGGAGCCAGCGCCUGCUACGGGAGAGGGGUCUGCCCGUGCUUUGGGGACAGAGUAGCCCAUCAUGACCCACCGUUGCUGUUUGACCUCUCGAGAGACCCUUCCGAGGCUCACGCCCUCACGCCGGACACCGAGCCCUCAUUCCAUCAGGUGAUAGAAAGCGUCACAAAGGCCGUGGCGGACCAUCGCCGGACGCUCAGCCCGGUUCCACUGCAGCUGGACUUGCCGGACAACAUCUGGAAGCCGUGGCUCCAGCCCUGCUGUGGUCGGUUCCCUCUCUGCUGGUGUGAUCGGGAAGCUGACCCAUAAUAGCCGCCCCCACCCCCCCGGGAAAACUAGGUCCCUGCUCCCUAGAGAUCUUCGUUGGGGUCAGAAUGAAAUGGCCUGAAGUCAAGCUGUCUGCUUGUGUGUGGGGCUGAAUCUCUUCACCAACUCUAAAGAGAAAGUGUCACCGAACUCAGGUUCAGGUUCUCACGGCUCAGGAAUGCAAUACUAAAUCGGUACAAAUGAACGUAUGUACAAAACAGAAAUAGAGUCACAGACAUAGAAAACGAUCUUAUGGUUACCAGCUGGAAAAGGGGGUGGAGGGAUAAAUUGGGAGAUUGGGAUCGACAUAUAUACACGACUGUAUAUAAAAUAGAUAACUAAUAAAGACCUGCUGUAUAGCACAGGGAACUCCACUCAAUACUCUGUAAUGCCCUACAUGGGAAAAGAAUCUAAAAAAGGGAGUGGAUCUAUGAAACUAACACAACAUUGUAAAUCGACUCUACUCUAGUAAAAAUUUUAAAACAACAACAACAACAAAACUUUUCAGAGAGGGAUACAAUUAGUUUAGACCACAUGUCUACGGAAGCAUUUGACUAAGACGGUCUAUCAGCAAGAUUAAGAGUCUGUCUGGGUUUAAUCUUCUGAGGAUGCUUGGGAACAAAAGCCCAGAUUCAUGCGGGUAAAUUUAGGGGACAAAGGAAA